AAUGUUGCGAUAAGAUCACUUUCAUAAUAACUCCUUGAACCACUCCCAUGCCUCAUAUAAAGAUUCUUCAUCAAGUUGCUGAAAUGAAGUGAUUUCAUUUCAGAUAUU
rfam:Gossypium arboreum cultivar AKA8401 contig_6977_5, whole genome shotgun sequence.